AUUGAACGCUCGCGGGAUGCCUUACACAUGCAAGUCGAACGAGUGGCGGACGGGUGAGUAAUGUAUCGGAAUGUGCCUGGUAGCGGGGGAUAACUACUCGAAAGUGUGGCUAAUACCGCAUACCAUUGGAUCUGCCCAGAUGGGAGUAGCUUGUUGGGGGGGUAAAGGCUCACCAAGGCAACGAUCCGUAGCUGGUCUGAGAGGAAGACCAGCCAGACUGUGACGGAGACAAGGGCCAGACUCCUACGGGAGGCAGCAGGGGGGAAUGUUGUACAAUGGGGGCAAGCCGUAUGAAGCCAGCCCGCGUGUAUGAAGAAGGCCUGCGGGUGUUAAAGUACUUUGGUCGGUGAGGCGGUGUCUGCAGAAUAAACACCGGCUAACUACGUGCCAGCCGCCGCGGUAAUUC
rnacentral:rRNA from 1 species